UUUCUUUAGGAAAGAGUUAGUUAUUUUACAUUCCCUCCCCCGCGCUUUCUCUCUGUUCACCAUUAUUUUCUCCAGAAAUUUCGAAAUACUCGCUCUGAAUCCAAAUCAUGGAUCAUCAUCAAUGGCAUUUCAGGCCACCACGCCCGGCCAAUAACGUAUGUCCAAUUUGCCAUGUUUGUCACUUCCCAUUUUGCCCUUCCCUUCUUCCUCCGCCUAUGCUAAUCAAAACCCUAGGUUUCCACCCCGGCCUGGAUUCGACCCGAUACCUUGGCACGGUGUGAACCCUAGUUUCGAUGGGCAAAAUCCGGUACAGUCGGUGUAUGAUUACUACGGUUGUAGUAACGGUUUUGUUAGUGAAUAUGAUAGGAAUUAUAAUAAUAAAAGAAUGAGAAUUGAUGAGAACAAUUACCAGUAUGUUCACGAACGCCGAUUGAGGCUGAUUCGCUAUCACGGCUGCGUUUCCGGAAACCCUGAGUUUUUUAAUAGGAAUGGGAUUCAUUCUGUUGAAAAUCAUGCAGCUAAUAGUUCAGUUCAAUUGAGUCAUGAUUGGCCAAAUUUUGGUCCCAACAGUCAACCACCACCAACGGCGUUACCAUCACUGCCACUAUCGCAGUUACCUCCCCCUCAACGUGGAUGGCAGCCCCAACAUUAUUGUAACGGUAAUGAGCAUUUGAAUAUACCAGGAGGUUACUUAUCACAUCGUACUGGCAAUGACAUUGGGCGGCCUCCUCUUACUACUUGUCCGCCCUCACCUUUUCCGGUGGACCACCCACUGCCACAUCUACGGCCGCCAGCAACACCAAAAACGUCUUUGUUUCCUUUACCUGUCAGUGGUCCUUCCUCAUUCUUACAAAUUCCGCACGCUUCUGCUGAGUUUCUUAGGGAUGUACUGCUUUGCUGUCAUAUGCUUGGUUUGUGAUCUUGUCUUAAUUGUUGGCAUUGUGUUAUUUGGUUUAAAGUAUUAUGUUUGUGUCAUGAAGUAAUCCCAGUCAUUGUCUAUGCCGUACCUGGUAGAAAGCCAAUCAUUUCCCCUGAAGCAGUUAUGUCCUGAGAAGCCGAAAGUUGUGAAUGCUUUACAGUUGUUUAAGCUGUCUCAUCGAGCUACUCGCCCUGACCAUAUUGUGAUAAUACUUCGUAGGCUUCCAGGUAGUGGAAAGAGCUACUUAGCAAAAUUGUUGCCUGACCUUGAGGUUGAAAAUGGUGGUGAUGCUCCAAGAAUUCAUUCUAUGGAUAAUUAUUUCAUGACUGAAGUUGAAAGUGCAUGGUCACUUCUGUGGGCAUGGUGUAUGUUCCUCCCUUAAGAUACCUCUGCACAAACAUGCGUAAAAAGAUAUUGAGGAGGGUGAUGUCUCAAAAUCUUCAAGUUCAAUUCGAAGCAAGAAAUUGAUAACAAAGAAGGUGAUGGAGUAUUGCUAUGAACCUGAAAUGGAGGAGACUUAUCGGUCAAGCAUGUUGAAAGCAUUUAAGAGGACUCUUGAGGAGGGGAAUUUCACUUUGUGAUUGGUGCCACAAAGAAUGCUAACAUGCUGUCUUUAGUAAUUGGACCGGGGUGCCGGAUACAACUUGGUUAGUCAUGCAGUAAUUAUGUUGCCUAUAAUUUGGAUUAUUCAAAUAAAUUUUUAGUCUGUUGUAGUUGUAUAUACCAUAUUCUGAUAAUACUCUUUUUAAGUUGGUGAUCAUUACUAGUAUUUGCUAUUUGUUCUUUUCAAUUUUGUUUGGAGAGCAUGCUUUUCUUUGGGCCAAUAGGAUGGGAAGGUGGUUUUUUUUUAAUUUGUGUGUUUAUUUUCUAUGACUGAAAAUUUUUGCCUUAUGUUUGCCGUCCACAAAGAUUCACUUUUAUAAGUAUGUUUGUGGGCUUCCAACUCCUGCAGAAGUCCAACCCAGUAAAAGUAUGUUUGUGUGCUUCCAACUCCUGCAGAAGUCCAACCCAGUAAACUAAAGAAGAGCAAUCAGGUUCAAUGCCUAGCGUUGGCAAGUCAGAGAAGCAGAGCUCAUUCCAAGAGCAUCUCUGAGCGGAGCGCGAGUCCUUCAAAGCUGUUUUUGACAGGAGAUGACAGCGAAUUGGUGGACUCAGUUUGGAGGGGGAAUGAUAACCAAACAAAAGCUAGCAAGUUUUCCUAAUAGCUAGAGUUCUGAUAUUUUUGUUAUUCUUUUGGGGGUCAUUUAAUUAUCUGAUAAUCCAAGGGAGCAUUGGUCAAAGAAACAAAGAUGACUCAGUGGUAUAUUUGUUUUGUGGGUUACUUUCUCUGUCCCGGCGAAAAGUUAGGCCCCUCCCAUUGUGAAAUCAGAACGUAGAAUAUUUUUGUAGAGGUGAUGGGCAAUAUGGCGAAGCUUGCCAUUGGUGUUGGAUUCUGUAAUCUUAGCUGAGUGAGCUUGUUGUUCAGUUUGGUAGACAAAUAAUCAUAUAAUUUUAGUCACACCAGAUUAUAAUAUUUGGUAUACAUAGUUGUAUGAUCUGAUCUUGAUCAACGCUGUCGAAAAUUUGUCCAAGAGGAAUGGUCAAGUGUAAUUUUUUUUUUUUA